rnacentral:lncRNA from 10 species
ACAAGGGCUCCUAGUCGUUUUAUUUUUAGCGUAAGGUUUUCCUCUUUAACAAGGAAGUAAAAAAAAAAGUUGUGCAAUAAAUAUUAAUCGUCCUUAUAUGUACUCGGGAACGUUCGUCCUUUAGGUUUUCUCCUGGCGCAUGGGCGCCGCCAAUCAUUUCGGGGCUUAUUUUGGUUCUAAAGCCCGGGGCAGCCAGGCCUCCCUGCCUGGCCUCGGCGGGGACGCGGGACCUGGGGCCCCGGACCGGGCCUAACCGCCCUGGCCGGUCCCCACUGAUGGUGGCGGUCGGUCCUGAUCGUCCUGAUGGCAGCGACCAGGCUGGACUCGGGCUGUGCAGGGGCGAGGGGAGCAGGGCGGGGUGACGCCCGGAGAGCGGCCUGGAGAGCGCGUGCUUCAGAAGGCGUGGGCACCCUGUCCCCUUUGCAGAUGGGGAUGCAGGCCCUGGUGGCGGUGGAGGGGAGAUGGGGGCAGGGACGUUGCCGGGCAGAGGAAGCUGGGUAUUCCUGGGGGAUUCCUGGGAGCCAUGUGGGAGAGGCGUGAGGAAGUGAGACCUUCACCCCGAGACAGGUCCUGACACACCCUCUGGUGCCUCUACUCAAGUGAGGUGAGAGGGGAAACUGGUGUAUUUUUAGAUGAAGUUUCCUUGGGAAAUUGUUUCUAUUUUAUAUUUUAUCAGUAAUCCCCUGGCUAAUGUUUUAAACCAAUAUUUAUAACACUGCCUCAGAGCUUUGGAAUAAACAGAUUUCCAUAAAGAAAAGCUGCUUUAGAGUGCUACACUGUAAGAGGGGCCGGGCAAACAAGAAGGGACGGAGGAAAGACCACCAAGUGAGAGGCACAGGUGUCAGGACACACAGAGAGCCCGAAAACGAGGCAGAGGUGAGCGGGGACCAGCAGCACAGCGGCACUGACGCGCCAGGGACUUGGGCUCUGCUGGCCUCCUCCCUCGCGGCCAGCAGUGGCAGUGGUGGGAGUAGGCCUGGCUUGUCUGUGGUUGCCUUUGUUGCUUUAAUUGAAAGUACUCAAGGCUAUUUCUUGUCGCGUCAUUUCUGACAGUGUCCGGUGGUCCCUACCCUGUAAUGCCAGGAGGUUCCAGCCCCACCCUUCCCUCCCCACUCCCUCUUUCAUCUCCCGGAUCCUAUUAGAGGAUUGCUUUUAUAGCUGAUGAGCUGAUGAAGUAUGCAUUUAGCCCUUUAACCGUAACUGAAUUUCCCCUGGUGCACAUCUGUAUGAAGGGUGUGCACCAGGGCUGAGCCGUCUGCUGGGCGAAUAUGUCCCUCCCUGAGGCCCAGGACCACAACCCCUGAGUCACUCAAAGGAAUCGUUCCCAGCCUUAAGAAGUUUGGCUGCUGUAACUGACUGGGAAGCUUAAAAUAACAGACAAUCAUCUCUCACAUUUAUGGGGACUGGGAAGUCCAAGACCAAGUUGCCAUCUGGGGAGGGCCUGUUCCUCACAGCGCCUUCCAGCUCAGGCCUCGUUUAUAAGGGCACUCAAGCCUUCCACGACAACGGGUCCUCAUGACUUACUCACCUCGGAAAGCCCCACCCCCAAGACCAUCACAUUGUGGGUGAUGGCAGAGCAUAAGGUGCCUUCCCCACAUGCUCGGGUUGGCCCAGCGUCUCACGCUAGCAGCUACGUGGAAUAGUUAUUUUUUCUGGAGAACUCUGGGACCCCUCUGAUGUCUUGGAGCACCCACACAGGCCGUUCACUGUGCACGCUGUGAGGCUGUCGUCUUGGAGCACCCACACAGGCCGUUCACUGUGCACGUGGUGAGGCUGUCCUCUGGGGAGUUCUGCUGUUGUAUGGGUUCUGUCUGUGUCAAUGUCCCAGCGGGAACGCAGGGCACACUAGCGUCAUCCCCAGAGGGCUUGGUAAGGGGACUGUUUGCAGAGACAUAGGCAGAGGGCUGGAAAACUACCAAAAAAGUGCAGUGUUCUGGACCUAAUAAUAGCAGAGCUAUUCUCACCCUGGUCUGAAGGCAGGAGGGGAGGAGCAGUUAAUGGAUUCUGGAAGUCAGGUUGCACAGAGUCACCUUGAAAGAUGCCAUGACCUUCACCGAGGGCCAGACAGAGACUAAGAUGACCCCAUAGGAGAAUAAGACCUAGACCUCAUCCUCCUGCCUCCUGCCAGUCCCUGCCAGGGGUCGCCAAUGGCAAAACAGGACUGGAAGCCAGAGGCCAUGGAAGCCCAUGGAUGAAGUCCACAGGCCAGCCUCCCCGAGAGCAGCCUGGACGGUCCGCAGGAGACGUCUCCUGUCUUAGGCGUCCCACGCCGCGUGCUCCUGUUCAGCCCUGCCGAGGUGGAAGCUUGGAGUGGCUCACGGUGGAUGCAUUGACGCUGCAGACGCCAGCAAGUGCUACAAACCAGAGCUGGCCUUUAACUCAGACUGAUGGAGAAGGUGUUAAUAAUGCAGAUUAGACUUAAAAGUGUUGAAGCCAUUGCACUGUGAACAGCAAAAAAAUUGAAGAACUCUUCUGGCAUUUAAAAACAAUUACUCAGUUCAGCAGAGAAGUCACUGACAAACGAGAUCACACUGACUGCUUUGUCGUUUUGGUUUUGUCUUACUCAUUAAUGCAAAUAAGAACAUUCACUAGCAUCUGUGUCGGGCCUACCCUCCCUGGUCAAAUACAGCUACAGUCUCCCUGCAGAAACGAGUUUUCCAGAAAUGAGCCGAUGUUUUCUGCGAGAAUCAAUUGGUCAUAUACAAUUUACAAAAAUGAGUACUGUAUACUAUAUUUGUAAACUGUACACUGCAGAUGCUUUAUUUCACUGAAAUUUAUAAUACACUUAUCCAUGUAUAUGCAUGCAUGCAUUUUUGUUCCUGAGAUCCAGCUGUGAAAUGUUUACCAGCACAUAAAUUACCAGCACAUGCUCUUUUUUGUUAACCUACUAGGUAAAAUCUUCAUUUAUUACAUCAAAUUCUUGUAGUUUUUGUAUUGCAAUUAUGCAGAUAUUGAUUAUCGCAGUAUUACUGCAAUUAUACAGAUACCACAAUUUCAGAUAUUGAUCAGCGUGUUCAGUUGGUUUCUAAGGAGGUUUACUUACCUCAUGGUACACCUAGUUUGCAUAGUUUGAUUAUAUUUAACUCUUAUGCUAAUUGGGGGAAGUCAUUGAUUUAUUGGACAGAUGCACCUGUGGUCUUCCCUGAGCACAUCCUGGCCAAGGAUGCUGCCCCCAGGAGAUUUGAGAAGUCCUGUAAGGAUCAUAUCAGUAUUUUCAAAUACUUAUAGAAAAGCCAGAGGGAUUGACCCAGAAUUACCAAUAUAAGCUUGACCCUGAGAUAACAAUGCCAUUUUAUGUUUGCAUGCAUAAAACCAAUGCAAGAGGCUGAUGACUCCAGAUCCCUUAUAUAAGCCAAUAAAAAGUAGUUUCAUUUUUUAUUUCAUUUAAAAAAGUGUACCAUUAACCUAAA